rnacentral:rRNA from 1 species
UAAUACGGGGGGAGCAAGCGUUGUUCGGAUUUACUGGGCGUAAAGGGCGCGUAGGCGGCGCGACAAGUCACUUGUGAAAUCUCUGGGCUCAACCCAGAACGGUCAAGUGAUACUGUCGUGCUAGAGUGCGGAAGGGGCAACUGGAAUUCUUGGUGUAGCGGUGAAAUGCGUAGAUAUCAAGAGGAACACCUGCGGCGAAGGCGGGUUGCUGGGCCGACACUGACGCUGAGGCGCGAAAGCCAGGGGAGCGAACGGGAUUAGAUACCCCGGUAGUCCUGGCCUUAAACGAUGAAUGCUUGGUGUCCGGGGUUAGAUAGUCCUCGGGUGCCGUCGCUAACGCUUUAAGCAUUCCGCCUGGGGAGUACGUGCGCAAGCAUG